GUAUUCAGGUCACAUAGUACGUGUAUUCAGGUCACAUAGUACAUGUAUCCAGGUCACAUAGUACAUAUACUCAGGUCACAUAGUACAUGUAUUCAGGAGCACAUAAUACAUGUAUUCAGGUCACAUAGUACAUAUAUUCAGAUCACAUAAUACAUGUAUUCAGGAGUGUAUAGUACAUGUAUUCAGGAGCACAUAGUACAUGUAUUCAGGAGCACAUAGUAUUGU